rnacentral:rRNA from 1 species
UACGUAGGGUGCAAGCGUUAAUCGGAAUUACUGGGCGUAAAGCGUGCGCAGGCGGUUUUGUAAGUCUGUUGUGAAAUCCCCGGGCUCAACCUGGAGUCGCCAUCCGAUACUGCUAUGGCUAGAGUCCGGUAGGGGCCCACGGAAUUCCUGGUGUAGCGGUGAAAUGACGCAGAUAUCAGGAGGAACACCGAUGGCGAAGGCAGUGGCUGGGCCGGCACUGACGCUGAGGAGCGAAAGCGUGGGGAGCGAACAGG